rnacentral:rRNA from 1 species
AUUGAACGCUGGCGGUAUGCCUUACACAUGCAAGUCGAACGGUAGAGGGGCAACCCUUGAGAGUGGCGAACGGGUGAGUAAUACAUCGGAACGUGCCCAGUCGUGGGGGAUAACGUAGCGAAAGCUACGCUAAUACCGCAUACGACCCGAGGGUGAAAGCGGGGGACUCGCAAGAGCCUCGCGCGAUUGGAGCGGCCGAUGGCGAAUUAGGUAGUUGGUGGGGUAAAGGCCCACCAAGCCUGCGAUCGGUAGCUGGUCUGAGAGGACGACCAGCCACACUGGGACUGAGACACGGCCCAGACUCCUACGGGAGGCAGCAGUGGGGAAUUUUGGACAAUGGGCGAAAGCCUGAUCCAGCCAUACCGCGUGCGGGAAGAAGGCCUUCGGGUUGUAAACCGCUUUUGUCAGGGAAGAAAUCUUCUGGGCUAAUACCUCGGGAGGAUGACGGUACCUGAAGAAUAAGCACCGGCUAACUACGUGCCAGCAGCCGCGGUAAUAC